CUGAUUCUUAUGUUUCAGGUUCUCCAUCAUCUUCUAUAACCUUGUAGUUUAAAAAUAAUGCCACUUAAUUGAUCAAUACCUUAAAGACUUGGAAGAGGAACCAUUCAAGAACUCUCUCCCUUAGAGCCUCCAAGUGAGGCUCCUUCAGAGUGUCCCCAGGAGGUUCAGCCAGCCAAUAGGUCACAACAACCCUUUGAGGAAAGGACUAUUAUGACCCUCAUUUUGCAGAUGAAAAAACUGAGGUUCAGAAAGGUUUCCUUGAGACUAUUAAAUAUUCUCCUAGAAUGACUAAAUCCUGAAAGGAUUUAAUUUUCCAAGCUAGAAGGAACCUUACCCAUUGUCUAGUCAUCAUUUUACAGAAGAGGAAAGAGAUCUGGAUGGUAAGUGAAUGCUGUGGUUACACAGCCAGUUGUGUCACCAAGGGUAGGACGCUGGCGACUAGUGUUCUUUCUGCUGGAACACGCUGGCUCUGGCCACUGAUAGUUCCCUUGGCUCUGUCUGGACUCUCCUGAGCAAGCACAAGUGAUAGGAGCUGAUAACACACAAAGGCCUUUAGAUCAAGCAAUGGCCUCUGCCUCUUGGCUACUCAUGUUUGCUUAGCCGAUACUGAAUUCUUG